UCUUGUGUGAAGGCUAUUAAGUUUUGUUCCACUGAUAGUCAAGGGGAGCUAAAAGAUUUUGGCUGUAAUAUAUUAAAAAAUCUUGAAGAUGAGCUAAUUGCUAAGCUUAGAUCUGCAAUGAAAGAAGCAGUGGAUGGUGAUGAAUAUUCUCUUCUUGUAAAUUUGAAAAGGUUAUAUGAGCUUCAGUUAACAAGGGCCGUACCAAUUGACAGUUUAUAUGAUGAUAUUGUUAGGAAUCUCCACAAUUUCAGAAAUGUGGAUGAUGAGGUUGUCAGUUUUCUGCUUCUCAAUAUGUAUUUGCACGUAGCAUGGUCUCUGCACUCUAUUGUGACCGGUGAAACUGUAUCUGAAGCACGCUUAUCCUCUCUACUUUCAAAACGCAAUAUCUUGUUUGAGGAACUUGAGUGCUUUCUUCUUAUCCCUUCUGAAGAAGAGAGAGUUGAUAAACACGCCAAUCAGCUAGCUUGCAGAGUUUGUAUCAUACUUGCGGAGACAUGGUGUUUGUUCAGACAGACAAAUUUUUCUUCAACAAAGCUGGAAAGCUUAGGAUAUUGUUCAGAUACCUCUGUUCUUAAAAAAUUCUGGAGACUUUGCGAACCCCAACUCAACAUUUCUGAUGAGACCGAAGAUGAAGACUCAAACAAAGAGUACAUUGAGGAGACAAAUAGAGAUGCAGUUAUGAUAGCUGCAGCAAAGUUGGUUGCUA
rnacentral:misc_RNA from 1 species